rnacentral:misc_RNA from 1 species
CCUCACCCGUGUACCAGUGCA